CAGGGAAGGCAGCUCAUGACAUCAUGUUUAAAUAUUAGAAGAACAAUAACAAGGCCAAAAUCAACAGCCGAUUUUGAUACCAUCAGGACACCUAAAACCUUAUCAUGAGCCAGAUGCCAAAGAAGAGAUUCCAGGAGGUUCCCGAGGACCUCCCGGUUGCAGCCAUGUUGAGACUGAUGCUGAGGAGGACCCCAGCUGCCAUGAGCAACGCCGUCAAACACAGCCACCCACCUGGGCACAGAUCAAGAAGCUGUACAGAUGACAGAAGAAAACCUGAGGAAAGCAGGACAACCAGUCACGAUGAAUAAUUUAAUGGUAGCUAUGAUAGUGGUUAUCACCACUGCCAUUAAAUAUUCCUUCAUAAAGGGCUGGCAAUAAUGCCUGGAUGCAGUCACUCUAUGACACAGUUACACAUGCUUUCUGAUCUCAGUAUUUACCAUAAUAAAUCUGCUCCUAUAAUUGAGGCAUACUGCCCUCAAAAACCUAUUUGUAAACAGGAUUGGACCCAGUUAAAAAAAAAUGAACGUACUCGUUUAGGAAGAUUGCUUUGCAGAACAGGCAGAGGUGCUGCACAAUGAUU
rnacentral:lncRNA from 10 species